GACGAACGCUGGCGGCGUGCCUAAUACAUGCAAGUUGAGCGCUGAAGGUUGGUACUUGUACCAACUGGAUGAGCAGCGCACGGGUGAGUAACGCGUGGGGAAUCUGCCUUUGAGCGGGGGACAACAUUUGGAAACGAAUGCUAAUACCGCAUAAAAACUUUAAACACAAGUUUUAAGUUUGAAAGAUGCAAUUGCAUCACUCAAAGAUGAUCCCGCGUUGUAUUAGCUAGUUGGUGAGGUAAAGGCUCACCAAGGCGAUGAUACAUAGCCGACCUGAGAGGGUGAUCGGCCACAUUGGAACUGAGACACGGCCCAAACUCCUACGGGAGGCAGCAGUAGGGAAUCUUCGGCAAUGGACGAAAGUCUGACCGAGCAACGCCGCGUGAGUGAAGAAGGUUUUCGGAUCGUAAAACUCUGUUGGUAGAGAAGAACGUUGGUGAGAGUGGAAAGCGCAUCAAGUGACGGUAACGACCCAGAAAGGGACGGCUAACUACGG
rnacentral:rRNA from 1 species